AGUGAACGCUGGCGGUAGGCCUAACACAUGCAAGUCGAACGGCAGCACAGUAAGAGCUUGCUCUUACGGGUGGCGAGUGGCGGACGGGUGAGGAAUACAUCGGAAUCUACUUUUUCGUGGGGGAUAACGUAGGGAAACUUACGCUAAUACCGCAUACGACCUACGGGUGAAAGCAGGGGAUCUUCGGACCUUGCGCGAUUGAAUGAGCCGAUGUCGGAUUAGCUAGUUGGCGGGGUAAAGGCCCACUAAGGCGACGAUCCGUAGCUGGUCUGAGAGGAUGAUCAGCCACACUGGAACUGAGACACGGUCCAGACUCCUACGGGAGGCAGCAGUGGGGAAUAUGGGACAAUGGGCGCAAGCCUGAUCCAGCCAUACCGCGUGGGUGAAGAAGGCCUUCGGGUUGUAAAGCCCUUUUGUUGGGAAAGAAAAGCAGCAGGUUAAUACCCCGCUGUUCUGACGGUACCCAAAGAAUAAGCACCGGCUAACUUCGUG
rnacentral:rRNA from 1 species